rnacentral:lncRNA from 1 species
UCUUGUAAAGUUCAAGCCUUGAGCUCAAAAAUGCACUACAAAGUGGCGAUUCUUGAUACUAAAGCUCUCAGGGAUAUCUGUGCUCUUGACUCACAAAAAUAGGUGGCAUUUCAAACUUUGGGGGAAGAUGGACUGAGGACUUCACCCAGAAUCUCUCAAAUCUGCCUGCCCAGGGACGUGGGAGAAGUCAACUCCUGCAGCCCACCCUUCAGGAUGAGUUGGGAUGGAGGUGAUGAGUCCCUCAGAUUCCCUCUCCUCCGAGUCCUCUCCGCUUUCUGUCUAGGUCACCUCAGCAUCUUUGAAGCGCUUACCCAUCUCCUGGCCUAGUGCUUUUAAGAGCCAGAUUUGCUGGCGCUCAGCCAAACCUCCUUUAGUUCUCGACGGAGCCUCUAACCCGGGACCUCCACCCAUCUCACUCCCAUUCCCAUCUUACAG